CUUAUCCAACACAGUAUAGAACUCUAUGCUAUACUAGUUUUGCUUAAGCACUCAAUAACUUAUUAUAUCAUAAUCUACAAUUCAGUAUAUUAGUAGCUACAUAGAAAAUCUAUAUGUUUCUAUCUUGUUUAGACAACUUACAUAGUUCUUGUCUUUAUUCAAUCCUUGUCCCUGCCAAUGCCAGGAACCAUCCUAGUUUCAGUAUUGGAAUUCAUGGAUCUUCCAUUAUCUUCAUCAACAUCCAUAAGGGUUUCCAUGGGAAAAAUAGAGUACCAAAUCAGUGACAAGAGAAAUUUUUCUUUCCCUUUAACUAGCCUCCGUGAUGAUUUGAUUGUUAAAAUUCAGGAUGCUAAUGGAAAUGAAAUAUCAAGCACAGGUGUUCAUAUCAGGUUGAUAUUAGAGAAAGUUGUAUGGGAAAAUUUUUUUCCCCUAGGGACUGGCUACCUGCAUUUGAGAUUGCAAUUUAUACUUAGUGAUGAAGAGCGCAACAAAAUUCGUAUAUUGAGAGAAACUGCAUUAAAGAAGAAACGCAACGAGCUUCUUAGUAGCGAUCAAAGAGGUGCAGAAAGUGACAGUAGAGCUAGUACUGGCAAUGCUGCAUCACAGAUCCAAACAAAUGAUGAGGUCUCAGAAUCACCGAAGGAUCGCCUUCAACAGGAAGCGGUUUUCCAAAUACAAAGUCCCGUUAGUUUCCGCGGUGACGAAGAAUCUGGUAUUAGAAAUGUAGUGGAAGCUCACCUUGACCAGAAACAGCAUAAACCAGUUAAGAAGUAAUUGGUUUGCACUUUGCAGCAUAGUCUAAUUGGAAAAUGUACUAUUGUUUGUUUAAUGUUUCAUGUUACAUGUUUUAGAACAUUGCAGAUAAGUAUGAGGAGACAUCAUCAAAAAAACCUAUGACACAAGAAGUUAAUCUUAUACAAUCACAACACAUAGGUAAGAAGCCUAAAAAUCAGUCACCAUCAGUGAAACAACUUCAGAGAGUUACUAGUUCAGAAGAAUUGUCAAAUUUCUUAAGAAACUCAGAACAAAUUGAUGUUAUGAGAAAUAAUCAAAUACAACCUAAUCUAGAGAAAGAUGGUGAAAAAUAUUCUGAGAAGAAGAAUCCACCAGGGAGGACUUCAACUCCUAGUAAUGUAAAGAAAAUGAUAAGUGCUUUUGAAGGUGGUCUUCCUCAGGUAUAGUAAUUCCGAUGCACUUUAUCGAACCAACGAUAGAUACACUCUUGCUUUCACACAUUAGGGUCUGUUUGCGAGUUGGUUUUUGGAGUUCAAUAAAGGGCAAAAAAGGCUCGGAAA
rnacentral:lncRNA from 1 species